UCUGAUUUGUUCUUGUGAACAGCAUCCCAAGCAUGCUGCAAAUAUACAAAAUGGUAACCAGAUAAGUUCUAAAUUAGAAUCUCUAACACUUACAACAAGGGCAUCGAAUAGUGAUUUCCAUACUAACCUUCUCAAUAAUUUGGCUGUGAGACUUCAUGUAGGUAGCUUUGCUUGGUUUUGCAACCUCACGAGUUGAAGGCAUUGAAGAAUGGGUCCUUACUUUUAAUCCUGGCACAGGAUUUAAGAGGCACAGAGAGUUCUUAAAGCUUAAUCGAGGCAACAACCCACAGGCUUUUCUUGAUAAAUUGCC
rnacentral:lncRNA from 1 species